AUCAGCAAUGAUUUAGCGAAAAAGUUUAACUGGAUGGGCAGGGGGCAGAAAAGUCCUUUUUCUGUGUUGCACCUGGCAAAAGUCAUCAUAGAUGCUGCCAAAAAACAAGGGGCCACCUUAAUGGAGGCAGAAGAAAAGAUAAAAACAUGGCUAAAAUACAGCGGUGACCGAAAUGGAGGAAGAAAAAGGAGAUCAGAAAAGGAGAGGCAGACACAUUCCCCAUCACAUCCUCCAACCUCCGUGACGAAUGGUGCCGGGACACUGUAGUAGUAUGCAAACACUGCUCACCACUGGCAGAGUUUAUGAUCA